GCGGGCGGCGGCGGCGGCGGGCGGGGAGCGGCGGGCUCGGGCCCGCGUCCCCGGCCCCGGCGGCCUCCCCGGGCCUCCCUGCCGCCUUGGUAGCGCCGGUCCGCACUCGGCCUGACCCGGGACGUCACGCCGCCUGUCUGUUUUCUCAAUGAUAACUUGGCAGGAGAAGGGGGAAAGCGGCCGGGUUUUUCCUGGGCUCGUUACCGGGGUGACAUUCAGUGCCAGGCGAGCCUCGCCGGUCACCGCCAAGUCCCACCUGGAAAGAAAAAAAACCAACCCCCCACCCCCCCAAAAAAACCCCAAAAAAACCAAAGAAGAAAAAAAAAAAAAGAAAACUAGGGAACACGGUGUGCGGGGAGGGGGUGCCGGCCCCCGGCAGCCCAGCCCGGAUGCGGGCGGCCGGGUCCUGCGGCGGCGGCCGGGACACCUCGCCCCGGGGAUGCGGGGACACACGGAGGCACGCACACGCCGCCAGCCGCCAGCAGGCCAUUAGCCGAGCCACCGCGGGGGGGGGACGGGGGGCGGGACGGGGGGGGCACCAGGAAAAAAAAUAAAGAAAAAAGCAAAAAAAACCCCAACCCAAACUACCCGAAAUGCAAGAGGAAGGUAGGCGACAGUAACGCUGCCGGCGGUGCAGCCGCUGGUGCCGUGCAGGCCCGGCGCCGCACCGCCCCCCCCCCCCCCCCCCAAA